rfam:Triticum aestivum genome assembly, contig: Triticum_aestivum_CS42_TGACv1_scaffold_062749_1DL
CUGGCAUAAUGAUGAAGACAAUUGGUGUCCAAUCUAUUUGAUGAUAAAUUGCUCCUACUGAUUCUGA